UAAACUAUUAUUUCAGCUAGAUAUUCCAAGCACUUCCGUCCACUUGGCUUUUGCACCGUCAACGGGAUCUAGAAUUCGGUGAAAAUGUUGUAAUUGAAUCACAGUCCUAAGCAUGUUAACUGGAGAGUCAGUCUUACUGAGGUUAGCCAGAUUUACUUCCGAGUAAACAUGUGGGCUGAAAUAAAUCCGUGUAUGUCAGAAGGCCGUGUCCCCGGAAGGAAGCCUUCUUCCAAGCGGGCUUGUGUCUCCGGGAAGCGCGGCCGCCUCUGAUCGAGAAGUCGGCCAACUCCUGGGAUCCGGGACGGAGCCGAGAAGGGCGGGGGGCGUUGUUGAAGGACAGUCCCCGCUUUGGAGUUGACGCCUAGCGGUGAUAAAAGACGCGGAGGGCGACUUCCUGGAACCGGCGCCGAUCCCCAGGCGGGAUCCGGCAGACUCGCGGAAGGAGGAGCCAGCACGGAAAACAAAGCCCCGCGGCCAGGAUUAGACUGAAAAUACAUCUUGGUGUCCUGGUGGUUCUUAAAAUGAUUUGCUGAAUGGGCUGCUUAAUCAUCCUAACCAAUUGGAGAUCACAUAAAUAAUAUUAUGGUUCCAUUGUUCUACAGAACAUAAGUUGCUGUGCCACACACACGAAAAGUCCUCUUAGAUCAACUAAAGGAUUCACCUUGUGCAAGCCUCUGUUUCAAAUGAUGAGUGACUUCAUUUGGUUUCCAUUGACAUUUUGAC